rnacentral:lncRNA from 10 species
CGGGACACCUGCAUCUGCCAACAAGACUGGAAGCAGGUGGGAUGCCGGGAAUGAGGCUGGUUUGCAGGUUGGCGCAUGGACAUUUUCCCAGAAAGGGACAGAGACGGCGAAGUUUGACGGUCUGGAAAGCAGAGACCAGCAGGGCUGACUGCUUGGGAGCACCAAAUAUCCGGACAGCGCCUCUCGGGAGGUCCGAGAAGAGAACCGCGAUCUGUUUCAGCACCGGGGCUCAGGACAGUUCCCAGCGGGCUCCGUUUCGUCUCCAGAACCCUGGACAGCUCCUCCAGCUUGGAAUGCACUCCCUCCACCUCCAACCAGAGCUCCCCACAACUGACCCUGCCUUCUUCUGCAAGCUCCAUUUCAUCAAGGGAAACGAUCCUUAUUGCCUCACCAUUUCCCACGUGAAGUCUGUAUUGACAUUCUCAUAGACCUGGGAUAUUGUGUCUGCAGCACAUAGUCCAAUUAUUUUCAUGUUAUCUACUGACAGGUCUAUUUGUCUCCCUGUUACACUGUGAGCUCCGUGAGGGCAGAAACAAUGUUAGUAUUUUCACUGCUGUGUCCCCAGCGCCUGGUCCGGGGCCCGGCACACAGCAGGCAUAUAAUAAGCAUGUGUUGAAUCAAUAAAGGCAUCAAAGAAUAAACCAAUACAUCAAUCAAUAAAUGAAUGAAUGGCCUCAGCACACACAGGAAGAUCCUUCUUCUAGGUCUCCCCCAGAGAGAUACUGGAGGGCAAUGGUUGCUGGAGGUGUUUAUUGGGGAAGCAUAAUUGAAUUUGUGGACACUUAAGGGCCGGCCAGCCAACUCACAGCCCCAAGAGAGAGAGCCAGGCUCAUUUAAUUAGCAAUUACAAGGCACUGAUUCCUCAUUAGCUCUGGCAACCCUCGUCUCCCUCCUCAGCCCCAGACAAAUGAAAUCUUUCUCUCUCUCCCAGGAGUACUGCCUCAGUGGGUCCAUUAACAAGCAGAGAAAAUGAGAUUAGAAGACACCUAAAUGCCAGAGGCACUUUAUGAAUGGGCUGAGCAGAGGGAGGUUCAAUGUCUGGGUUAGGUCUAAUUGUGGGAGGUUUCCUGGUCUAUUUAGAAUUGCCCCCUGGGAAUGCAAGGUCUUUCAGAAAGGAAAAGGCACACAGAUAUUGCCUUCUGGGGUCCUCAAUGGAGGAGGACAUUCUGCUAUGGGUGUCUCCCAGUCACCCCAAAUUAAUCAUUUCAAAGUGAACACUCAAUCUGCCCAGCCCCUAGCUUCCUCCCCUGACAUGCCCAUGAAUAUGACAGUCCCUCUACAUGCCCAAGAUCCUCCCCUCCUCAUCCACUCCCCAUGAUCCCCAAGAUGAGUCACUGUGCUCAAAUCCAUCCUCUCUCCUCCAGCCCUCUGCCUCCAUGACCUCCCUCCAGCCCUCUGCCUCCAUGACCUCCGCCUCCCUGCAUGUCCGGAUCUCCUCACUGUCUCCCCUCUGAGCAUACACACACAUACAGCCUGUUCAUUCUCUACAUGCAGCGAGGGGACUUUCCAGAACACACAUCUGACCAAGUUCCACUCCUGCCUGUCACCCUUCCAAGAGCCCCACUGACUGCAGAAUAACGUUCAAAUAUCCGGUUGGGCGUGGUGGCUCAUGCCUGCAGUCCCAGCACUUUGGGAGGCCAAGGUGGGUGGAUCACUUGCACAGGACCACAGGCGUGUGCCACCACACCCAGCUAAUUUUUAUAUUUUUGGUAGAGACGGAGUUUCACCAUGUUGGCCAGGCUGACCUCAAGUGAUCCACCCGCCUCAACCUCCCAAAGUGCUGGGAUUACAGGCAUGAGUCACUGCACCGGUCUAAUUUUUUCAGAGUCUCACUCUUGCCCAGGCUGGAGUGCAGUAGCAUGAUCUCGGUUCACUGCAACCUCUGCCUCCUGGUUUCAAGCGAUUCUCUUGGCUCAGCCUCCUGAGCAGCUGGGAUUACAGGCACGUGCCACCACACUUAGCUAAUUUUUGUAUUUUUAGUAGAGAUGGGGGUCUCACCAUGCUGGCACAGUUGGUCUUGAACUCCUGACCUCAAGUGAUCCACCCACCUCGGCUUCCCAAAGUGCUGGGAUUACAGACGUGAGCCACCGCGCCCGGCCAGCCUUUAUUGAUUCUUUUUAAAGCCACACUAACCUUUUAUUUUCCCCCAAAGACCCCUGGGAGCCCUCAGUUUUUCCUGGCAGUUUCAUCUUUGUACCCCUGACCUCCCCACACACACGCCUAGCUCAGUGCUGGCAUCCAAUAUUCACUUUGGGUAUAAAUGCUUGUGCCUGAGCCUAUCACCUUCAUCACACAGAAAAUCCUGGAGGCCACACACCCCUGUAAAGACGAGCCAUUACCCACAGAGGUCCAACCAACUUACCACCCUCUCCCAGCCACCCCCAAGGACCCAGCUUGCAGCUGCCUGCUCAAUGGCUUUAGAAACUAAAAAAGGUGAAUGAGUUUCCAUCACUGCCCUCCUGGGCUUUGCCGUUAUGGCUGGUUAACUUGACAGAAGAACACAUUAUACUUCAUUUUUUGCUGUUGUCUUGUUGGAAAAAAAAGUGACAGCUGGGUGCAGUGGUGCACACUGUAGUCACAGCUACUCAGGAGAAUUGCUUGAGCACAGGAAUUGGAGGCUACACUGAGCAAUGAUCGCCUCACUGCACUCCAGCCUGAACGACAGAGCAAGACCCUCUUAAAAAAUACGUGAGAGAGGGUGCGUAUGAUGGCUCAUGCCUGUAAUCCCAGCAGUUUG